rnacentral:lncRNA from 1 species
ACCUUAUAAGCUAAUAAUCAAAGCAAGAAAGAGUUUUAACAACCAAUGGACAAAUACAUUCACAGGUAAUGAAGUGAAUAAGGAUUUAUUCCCUCCACAUCCAUUGUUAAAAACAUGAAAAUUCUUAAGGUGGGGGAAAAUAAAAAUGCGUAUUGGGCUAUUUCAUUCAAGAUAUUAGAAGUUUGAAACUUUACAGAUCAUUCAUGCUUUCACCUUCUAUUUACUUCUAAAUCUUCAAAUGUACAAAUUGGUUUACCAUAAUUUCAAUCCUGUUGUUACAAUUUAAUUCUCUCUAUAAGCAAUAUAAUUUGCUAAAGCAAUCAAUGGAGCUGCUUUCCCUUGAUCAAAUCCAGCAAGUUGAGCUUGAGCCUCUUUGUUUAACUCCUCAGCAAACUCCCUUGACUUUUCAAUACCAAUCAGUUUGGGAUAAGUUACCUUAUCAGCAACUAAGUCCUUUCCUGCUGUUUUCCCCAAUUGUUGAGAAGACUUUGUCACAUCAAGAAUAUCAUCCACAACUUGAAAUAACAACCCAAUACAUCUUGCAAACUUCCUUAACUUCUCCACUUCUUCAUCAUCUGCCCCUCCUAAUAGAGCCCCUAACACCACUGACCCUUCUAAUAAAGCUGCAGUCACAUCAAGAAUAUCAUCCACCACUUGAAAUAACAACCCAAUACAUCUUGCAAACUUCCUUAACUUCUCCACUUCUUCAUCAUCUGCCCAUCCUAAUAUAGCCCCCAACACCACUGACCCUUCUAAUAAAGCUGCAGUCUUGUGCAAAUGAAUGAACUCUAAAUGCUUCAAAUCAACAUCAGAAACCCCCUCUGAAAUUAUAUCUACAACUUGUCCAGCUACAAGUCCCUCUGCACCAAUACACUUGGCUAACUCACCAACCACCCUAACAAUCCUAUGUGAAGGAACCCCUUUAGUUUGAGUAGCAAUGUGCUCAAAAGCUAAUGCAAGAAGUGCAUCCCCUGCUAAAACAGCAACAUCCUCACCAUAAAUCUUGUGAUUUGUAGGUUUCCCUCUUCUAAGAUCAUCAUUAUCCAUACAAGGAAGAUCAUCAUGUAUCAAAGACAUGGUGUGAAUCAUCUCAACAGCACAAGCUGCAGGCAUAGCUAUGGAUUCAUCCCCACCAAAAAGUUCACAAGAGGCUAUACACAACAUGGGUCGGAUUCUUUUCCCACCAGCAAGAAGAGAAUAUCUCAUGGAUUCGUGAAUCUUGACUGGUUCCUUAAUCAAGACUGAAGAUUCCAACGCCUUGUUCACAGAAUUAGCUUUAUCAAGAACGUAUUCAUUGAACUCCAUUGCUUGUUUUUUCUUGUUCUUGCUUUCAUCAGUUUGUUGUUUUGUUGUAAGAAGAGCUGAGACGGAAAGAGGAGAAGGGUUGUUGGUGGAGAAUUUGAUCUUCAGAUGAGUAGGUAAGAAUCCAUGAGAGCAAAAUCUGGAUCUGCCGUUAUUUCCAAGGGCAAAAUAGGUGUUGCCCCAUGUUGUGAUUGCUGUAGAAAGACUCAUUCUUUUAGCUCUAAUUGUUUGGCUUUGUGAAAAUGAAGAAGAAGGAUUCAGACCAGCAAGUUAAAAGACUCCACCACUACUGGGUAAUAUUGACACACUGCAAAUAUAAAAUUUUGUUUUAAGUUGUAAUUUAAGUUGGGUGUCCUAAUUUGAGAUCUAAGAUUUAUUUAAGUUUGGCAAGAAAUCAUAGUGGGAAUUGAGGAGAGCGACAGCAAUUUAGAUAGAGCUGUUUUUAAAUGAGAAAAAGUGGUGAGGAAUGAUUAGAGUGGGCCAAUUGGCUAUUUCCUACAAUUGGCUACAAAAGUCCCACAAAAGCGUAAAGCAUUAUUGGUUCGUCCAUUUUCUCCACUCGUGUUUCUUUCCUACUCCGUUUUUCUUAUUCUCAUUAUCAUGGAUAUAUUUAAUGGAGCUCGUAUAAUAG